rnacentral:rRNA from 1 species
UACGAAGGGGGCUAGCGUUGCUCGGAAUCACUGGGCGUAAAGCGCACGUAGGCGGCUUUCUAAGUCAGGGGUGAAAUCCCGGGGCUCAACCCCGGAACUGCCUUUGAUACUGGCAUUCUCGAGUCCGGAAGAGGUGAGUGGAAUUCCGAGUGUAGAGGUGAAAUUCGUAGAUAUUCGGAGGAACACCAGUGGCGAAGGCGGCUCACUGGUCCGGUACUGACGCUGAGGUGCGAAAGCGUGGGGAGCAAACAGG